rnacentral:rRNA from 1 species
AGUCGAGGGGUAUAGUUAGCUUGCUAACUUGAGACCGGCGCACGGGUGCGUAACGCGUAUGCAAUCUACCUUUCACAAAGGGAUAGCCCAGAGAAAUUUGGAUUAAUACCUUAUAGUAUAUAUGAAUGGCAUCAUUUAUAUAUUAAAGAUUUAUCGGUGAAAGAUGAGCAUGCGUCCCAUUAGCUAGUUGGUAAGGUAACGGCUUACCAAGGCAACGAUGGGUAGGGGUCCUGAGAGGGAGAUCCCCCACACUGGUACUGAGACACGGACCAGACUCCUACGGGAGGCAGCAGUGAGGAAUAUUGGACAAUGGGCGCAAGCCUGAUCCAGCCAUGCCGCGUGCAGGAUGACGGUCCUAUGGAUUGUAAACUGCUUUUAUACGAGAAGAAACACUCCGACGUGUCGGAGCUUGACGGUAUCGUAAGAAUAAGGAUCGGCUAACUCCGUGCCAGCAGCCGCGGUAAUACGGAGGAUCCAAGCGUUAUCCGGAAUCAUUGGGUUUAAAGGGUCCGUAGGCGGUCAGGUAAGUCAGUGGUGAAAGCCCAUCGCUCAACGGUGGAACGGCCAUUGAUACUGUCUGACUUGAAUUAUUAGGAAGUAACUAGAAUAUGUAGUGUAGCGGUGAAAUGCUUAGAGAUUACAUGGAAUACCAAUUGCGAAGGCAGGUUACUACUAAUGGAUUGACGCUGAUGGACGAAAGCGUGGGUAG